rnacentral:lncRNA from 1 species
CCAAGCAAAAUGGAUGUGGCGGAGAAGUUUAUUCAAGACAAUCCAUAGUAAGGCUUAACACACCAAUAUACACAUGAAGAAGAACUUCUUCGCAUCACGGAACAGAUGCAACCAGACGUAGAAAACCUAUUACUAGCAUUCGGGAUCGACAUUGCCACAAUAGGAGCCACAAGAGCGCCCACUCAUCCAACUUCUGAUGUAACGCAACCCGAUCCUGCACAUACAAAAACAAGAGCCAAUAUCAGUCAAGAGAUGAUGUAACUCAUGAAGGACCAAAUUGCAUUUGAGGAAAGUCACACCCUGAUAGAAUACUUGAGGAAAAAUCCUGGCCCAAGCAUACUCCACGAGUGGGCCACAAGAGUUCUACACAACUCCUACACCUCAACAACGAUGCUUGGGGGAGGUUACUUCAAAAUAUAAUUUAUGAGCAAACAAGGAAAACUACACAUGCUAUCUAAACCAUAUCAAUUCAACAACGAAGAUAUAUUAUUUUCCACCUGGAGAGCCGACUUCGACCUGGAAUCGGAAACCGACACGCACCAAACCUCCUCCCAAAUCUGGGCACAACUCCGAGGCUUAAGAAGGAUUUUUCGCACAACACAGUUUCUCACAGAAGCCUUUUCCACUAUCGAAGAAGUCAUAGCCGUUGACUCCACCAAAUCUUACCAAAACAAAGCUUCUGGUUCUAAGGUUCAGUUACCAGUCUAGGAUGUAGUCAACCUCCCACAUACUUCAGUUCUUCCCAAGAGGUGAACAUGAAUACCGAAUUGACUACAGUGUACUAUCCUCCUAGUGCAAUAGAUGUAGAAGUACUACACACCACGCUAAACACUGUACACUACCGUGGAGAGAAGAGCGCAAGAGAUCCAGAUAGAAAACCCCAACCUUGGAAAACUCGGUAACCGACAACCUCACCCAACACAGACAGACCAAUGGUGAAGAGAAAACAUUGAAAAAUGUAGGACCUAGGAAGAAGAACAGUGCAACUCUUCUACGCACCAAAUACAUCUGGGUAGAAAAGAAACCAACAAAAUCCACAGACACACAUGAAGGACCAGAAAAACCAUCUGAAUCAAUCAUAUACAACUCACCACAUACAAUUGAGCUUUUGGAGAGCUCUGGGAUCAGAACCGCCUUGCAAAGGAACAACUUAUGAGCAAAUUACAGUAGCUUUAGUUUGGUCAUCUCAAAACAACUUCCUUGAAACCCUGGUUUGCAAAGCUAGCGACACUCUGCUGUGCACAACACAACUGACUCACGUCCCAAAGGAGAAGGAUUGGUCAUCAUCAAUCGCUCAAACGCAUAUGGUUAACACCACAAUGCAAAAGCUCCAAACACAGAUAACCAAUAGAGGAAAUGGCCCCAACUUGCUCCGCACCUAGUCAGACGCAAUAUGGGUUUCAGAAUAGCUCAACUAAAAAUCUACUCACACAAACAAUUGGAUUACUAUCUUGCCAUACGACAAAAGCACCACAGCGAUCAAACAUCAAUAAACAAAGCACUGGAAGCAGAUACCAUCAUCAACAUCCCCCCCACAAGCUCUCAUACUAGAAAGGGUAAAGGAGAUAUCAUAUGGCCAAUGGUGUCAGACAAUCAUCCAUCUCCAAGAUUAACACACCCAGGAUGUGAACUCCUCUCCUCUAACUCACUUUGAGCAGAAACUCGGAGAGAACAACACAUCUAUUAUACAUGAAUGAUGGCCUAACAAUGGCCACAUACAACAUCCAGUGCUUAGGCGAAGGACUGGAUGGCGUCAGAAAAUGCUGUAAGCUUCGAAACUUAAUGCAAAAGACCUAUCUCAAACCCAACCUUAUAUUAUUACAAGAACAUCAAUUCAACCAUACUAACUGUACCAAACAAGCUACACAACUAGAUUUUCUACAAGGUACAAUGCUUUGGAACACCGUAGUGUACUCAGCACAAAAAGUGGCUUAGUUGGUGGAACAGCUAUUUUGGUAUCCAACAAACUCACCGAUAACCUAAAAGAACAUGGAGUGAUAGUCUGAGGAAGAGCGCAACGCUCCAUUUUCAAAAUCAGCCCCACAGUUCAAAUAGGCAUUCUAAAUGUCUAUGGUUACAGCCACACAGAACCCCGUGCAAGACUAUGGCAGAAAAUAGCAGACCACCCUUUACCAGAAGCCCUCUGGAUCAUGGGGGGCGAUUCUAAUUUUAUUGAGUCCCUCGAAGACAAGCAGGGUGGGAAUGCCAAUUUAAGACAAGGAACACAAGAAAUGACAGCAUGGAAUAACAUGCUCAUUAAACUAUAAGUUCAAGACAGUUUCCACAUGGGAGAAUUCUGCAAGAUUACCAAUAAACGCUUCACCUGGGAUAACAGAAGCCCAGCCCCGAAGACAGUACUCACCAAGCUAGAUAGAAUAUACAUUGGAGACAAACUCCAAGACUGAGGUGGACUAUGUGGAAUCUGGACAGCACAACCAAUCAUUUCGUAUUACACCCCUGCUUUCAUAAGAUUGAAACCUGCAUGCCGACCUCUACCCUAGAUGCAGUUCUUUGACAAACGACAACUAGAAUCAGUUGAAGGCAGACAACAUGUCACAGGAGCUUGAAAACAGGCCAUAUAAAACACUACAUAAACCAAAUGGAGCGAUAAAAUUGGCCUUACAAGCAGUAUGCAACACGAACCUAAAUAUUGCAAAAAAGAACAGACAGACUUGGAAAAAAUAGUACAAGAAUCAACUAAACCAGACACUCAAUGCCAAACUCCUCGUUCAAGAUAACUGAAAUGACCCAACGACGAGGGACACACUCAACACAACACAGCUAUAAUUACAAAAAAAUUGAUACAACAGGCUAGAAAAACAAUUCACAUUCCUUACAGUCAAAUGGACAAGAGUGAGAGACCGUUGCAACUCUGAGUUCUUUCAACACUACAGAGCUCGUCACUGCAAAGUCCGCAUCAAAGAAUCCAAUGAUAAGGACCGCAUUCAAAAGUUCCAGAAGCACAUGGCGCUUUAUGCACAAAGAUAUUACCAACAACUCUACACCCCAAACUCCACCGUUGAAUGCAAUGUAGACUCCGAAAGAGACACCUUAGCAAGCACUCCUAUAGUAGUCACAGAGGAUCACAACCGAGAGUUAGAACGCCCUAUAACUGCUGAAGAGAUUACAGCGGCAACGAAGAGUCUUCCUAGAAGCAAAGCCCCCAGACUGGACAAGGUACCGACCGAAUUUUUCCAAGAAUGUUGGAGGGAAAUUGGCCCCGACAUGGUGGAACUCAUCAAAGAGGUUCUCUCACAAGAAACAUUGCCCAAUAAAUUCAACACCAGCAAUGUAGUACUCAUCCCAAAAUCAGGUGACCUCUCUCUGAUCACAAACUACCACCUAAUUUCUAUUCUAAGCACAAUAUACAAAAUCAUAGCAAAAGCAUUGGCUAACAGACUAGUUCCUCACCUACCAAGAUGGAUUCAAAAAUCUUAAACAGGAUUUACUAGAGGAAGAUGUAUAUUUGAUAACGUCUUCCUAGCCACAGAAGCCAUGUCUUGGGCAGAAGAGAGCAAUCAGGACCUAGCCCUAAUACUUUGACAUUGAAAAAGCAAAUGAUCGCAUCGGUUGGAUUUUUUCGCAAGAUGCGAUGACACAAUUAGGUUUCUCCAACGAAUGGAUCACGUGGACAAUGGCUCUCAACAAUGAAGCUGAGGCAGUAAUAACCAUCAACGGAGAGCAAGGACAAUCCUUCAAGCUAGAGAGGUCAAUUCGCCAGAGGUGCCUCUUGGCACCCUACCUAUUUCUAUUUGCUGCCACCUUACUAGAAUAUGUGCUAGACGAUCCCAAGCACAACAUAGAAGGGCUCAUCCUAUCCAACCAAACCAGUCACACUAACUCUAUGUUUGCCGACGACACCUCACUAUUCCUCAAAAGAGAACCAAACAACAUGCAACAAACACUGAGAGUGUUAGACACGUACUAUGAAGCCUUCAGAGCUAAGAUUAACUGGCAUAAAACUCCGACAAUCUGGGUCUCCCAAAAAACACGAACCUUUAAUUGGAGAAAUGUGCAUGGUCUAACAUAGGUACGAACAGGAAUCCCAGUGCGCUACCUAGGCUUUCCAAUCGGAUUCCACAUGCCUCCAAAAGAGAACGGAGCCAAAAUCCUACAGCAAAUCAUAAGACAACUUAUCAAAUGGGGGCCCAAACAAUUAUCUUUAGCAGGCGAGAUAAUGAUCCUCAACUAAGUGGUCCUGGAUUCAAUAUGGUUCCUAGUUUCAUGCGCCAAUGUAGAAAAUAAAAUCUUCAAACAAAUGUGAUCUUUGGUAAGGAACUACCUAUUGUCCGGGAUCACCACAUGAACCACAAGAGCCAAGGUACAAUAGAAUACCAUCAUCCAAAUACUAACUCACGGAGGUCUAAAGGUCCUAGAACUUGAACUCCAAGCCAGAGCCCUCAUCGCAAAGCUGAUCACCUGUGGCAUGGCACCCGGAGUAGAACCAUAAAAAAUCCUACUUGGGCACUGGAUAACAGAAAUCCAAUACAGCAAGGGAGGAGAUUGGUACCAUAGCCCGCACUAGAUUACGGGAAACAAAAUAAAACUCAAACCCCAAGGCUCACCGUUGUGGCUCAAUGUGAGGUCAGUAUGUCAAGAAAUUCAACCUGGUCUGCAACAACAACCACCACAAUUUCUAGACAAACUGAUGUGCCAGCCUCUCUUCAACAACACACUGAUAAGAGACUCAAACGGAACGAUAUGGGGCCAAAACCUCCAGGACAAGUUCAAUCUAUGAACGAGAAAGGGAGUGCGGACUUGCGGGGACCUUUAGAACGCCACUUCAGAGGAUUGGCAUAUCGAGUCAACCCUGCAACACCGCACAGAAAGCCGCUUAAUUAAAGUUUAGAAAACCACAAUGCUCACAAACAUUCCAUGGCACUCGGGAAACAGACAACCUUACAUAGCCAUAGAGUGGUGGGCAAUUGAUACACAGGGAACCAUAGUCAAGAUAUUCUAUAC